rnacentral:sRNA from 1 species
UAUUUGCCAAUCGCAGAUAACUUGCCUC